CCUACGGGAGGCUGCAGUGGGGAAUAUUGCGCAAUGGGCGAAAGCCUGACGCAGCGACGCCGCGUGAGGGAUGAAGGUCUUCGGAUCGUAAACCUCUGUCAGCAGGGAAGCACGGUCACUGUGCUAAUCAGCAGUGAAUUGACGGUACCUGCAAAGGAAGCACCGGCUAACUCCGUGCCAGCCGCCGCGGUAAUACGGAGGGUGCGAGCGGUAAUCGGUAUUACUGGGCGUAAAGCGCUCGUAGGCGGUAUGUCAAGUCAAGGGUGAAAUCCCCGCGCUCAACGUGGGAACUGCCUUUGAAACUGGCAGACUGGAGAGUGUGAGAGGAAAGUGGAAUGCCAGGUGUAGGGGUGAAAUCCGUAGAUAUCGGGAGGAACAUCAGUGGCGAAGGCGACUAUCUGGCACAUAACUGACGCUGAGGAGCGAAAGCGUGGGUAGCGAACAGGAUUAGAUACCCUUGUAGUC
rnacentral:rRNA from 1 species